rnacentral:rRNA from 1 species
GACGAACGCUGGCGGCGUGCUUAACACAUGCAAGUCGAACGGAAAGGCCCUGCUUGCAGGGUACUCGAGUGGCGAACGGGCGAGUAACACGUGGGUGAUCUGCCCUGCACUUCGGGAUAAGCCUGGGAAACUGGGUCUAAUACCGGAUAGGAGCCAUUUUUAGUGUGAUGGUUGGAAAGUUUUUUCGGUGUAGGAUGAGCUCGCGGCCUAUCAGCUUGUUGGUGGGGUAAUGGCCUACCAAGGCGGCGACGGGUAGCCGGCCUGAGAGGGUGGACGGCCACAUUGGGACUGAGGGACGGCCCAGACUCCUACGGGAGGCAGCAGUGGGGAAUAUUGCACAAUGGGCGCAGGCCUGAUGCAGCGAGGCCGCGUGGGGGAUGACGGCCUUCGGGUUGUAAACUCCUUUCGCUAGGGACGAAGCUUUUUGUGACGGUACCUAGAGAAGAAGCACCGGCUAACUACGUG